rnacentral:rRNA from 1 species
CCUACGGGACGCAGCAGUGGGGAAUAUUGGACAAUGGGCGAAAGCCUGAUCCAGCAAUGCCGCGUGUGUGAAGAAGGUCUUCGGAUUGUAAAGCACUUUCGACGGGGACGAUGAUGACGGUACACGUAGAAGAAGCCCCGGCUAACUUCGUGCCAGCAGCCGCGGUAAUACGAAGGGGGCUAUCGUUGCUCGGAAUGACUGGGCGUAAAGGGCGCGUAGGCGGUUUAUGCAGUCAGGUGUGAAAUCCCCGGGCUUAACCUGGGGACUGCAUUUGAGACGCAUAGACUAGAGGUCGAGAGAGGGUUGUGGAAUUCCCAGUGUAGAGGUGAAAUUCGUAGAUAUUGGGAAGAACACCGGUGGCGAAGGCGGCAACCUGGCUCGAUACUGACGCUGAGGCGCGAAAGCGUGGGGAGCAAACAGGAUUAGAUACCCCCGUAGUC